GGAAUUAGCCACUUUUAAUACUUAAGUAUAUAUAGAUUAGAAGGGAAAAAAAAGGCACAGAAACUACCGACGAAGACGUGGACAACUCAUCAGAUUGCAGUGGAAGAUCCGGAUUAUAUAAGGAAGUGUUAUACGAACUUGUUUGAUUACGAGUAAGGUACAAUUGGUAGAUUGAGAAUGUCCUGAAGCUUUACGAAUAGGGAAGAACUAUCUUGAAGAUUCGUGGCACGCAUUCAGCAUUCAAGAUUGAGUGAUUGACUUUCAAUUUGGAAACGUUCUUCGAGAUUGGAUAUGAGUUUGAAUUAUCUUGGAGUUGUGGUGUGCUGUUUGGGAUAUUUUGCGGCCCACACCUUCAGUCUACCCCUAUUUAUUAGGCUAUUUUGUUAUGCUGAUAGGAUAAUUCUUAUGUUUAGAUUUUUGUAUUAGUUUGGAAUUGUAUCAUAUUGUAGAAGCUCUUGUACUUAUGACACUAAAUCUUGGGGUAGUUUUAUUUAUAUUCCGCAUUUAUUUGAA